GCACCCCAAAAGAUGCUGGGGCAGGCGCCAUGGGCAAGGCUGUCUCCUUCUGGCCCUGCCGUCCUGCUGCUGGUGCUCUCUGCCCGCUUGACCUCCCAGGCUAUCUGCAGCUCCCCAGGGGAUCUCCUGGCUCCUGCUCUCCAACUCAACACAACUUCUGCUCAGCCAGGUACCACAGCUGUGCUCCAGUGUUUUCUCCGUGUGGU